UACGAAGGGGCUAGCGUUGCUCGGAAUCACUGGGCGUAAAGCGCACGUAGGCGGCUUCUAAGUCAGGGUGAAUCCUGGAGCUCAACUCCAGAACUGCCUUGAUACUGGAGAGCUUGAGUCCGGAAGAGGUGAGUGGAACUCCGAGUGUAGAGGUGAAAUUCGUAGAUAUUCGGAAGAACACCAGUGGCGAAGGCGGCUCGCUGGACAUGUAUUGACGCUGAGGUGCGAAAGCGUGGGA
rnacentral:rRNA from 1 species